AUCCAGCUGAUUAGUCCCAAACAAAACGAAACGCGCAUUGUCCUGGAU
rnacentral:hammerhead_ribozyme from 1 species